rnacentral:rRNA from 1 species
GUGGGGAGCAAACAGGAUUAGAUACCCUGGUAGUCCACGCCGUAAACGAUGUCUACUUGGAGGUUGUGCCCUUGAGGCGUGGCUUCCGGAGCUAACGCGUUAAGUAGACCGCCUGGGGAGUACGGCCGCAAGGUUAAAACUCAAAUGAAUUGACGGGGGCCCGCACAAGCGGUGGAGCAUGUGGUUUAAUUCGAUGCAACGCGAAGAACCUUACCUGGUCUUGACAUCCACAGAAGAAUCCAGAGAUGGAUUUGUGCCUUCGGGAACUGUGAGACAGGUGCUGCAUGGCUGUCGUCAGCUCGUGUUGUGAAAUGUUGGGUUAAGUCCCGCAACGAGCGCAACCCUUAUCCUUUGUUGCCAGCGAUUAGGUCGGGAACUCAAAGGAGACUGCCAGUGAUAAACUGGAGGAAGGUGGGGAUGACGUCAAGUCAUCAUGGCCCUUACGACCAGGGCUACACACGUGCUACAAUGGCGCAUACAAAGAGAAGCGACCUCGCGAGAGCAAGCGGACCUCAUAAAGUGCGUCGUAGUCCGGAUUGGAGUCUGCAACUCGACUCCAUGAAGUCGGAAUCGCUAGUAAUCGUGGAUCAGAAUGCCACGGUGAAUACGUUCCCGGGCCUUGUACACACCGCCCGUCACACCAUGGGAGUGGGUUGCAAAAGAAGUAGGUAGCUUAACCUUCGGGAGGGCGCUUACCACUUUGUGAUUCAUGACUGGGGUGAAGUCGUAACAAGGUAACCGUAGGGGAACCUGCGGUUGGA